UUUAAAAUAGAGAGAGUUCUUUACAAACUGUUGAGAAUUUUACAAUGGAAUUCCCAACAUUUUGUUAUUUACCUUGGAGAUGAGGAAUAUCCAAAUGUCUCAGCACGAGUAAGUUUGAUACCGUCGAUCUAUAGAUGGAGGGAGGGGGAAUCAGGAUGUCUUCCGGCUUCUCUGUGGAUGUCCGGCGUUUAUAGAAUUUUCAAUUGGAAAAGUUCAAACGUAAGGAAUAAGUUGAAAGUCUGCAUAGGUACACAGGAGAGUCACCACAACAGGCGGACAAGUCUGAAACGAAGCGGCGGAGACAAAAGACGAACGUGCGAAAGUCAGGAAGAUCGGAGAAGACUUUGCGAAUUCUUCUCUUCGUACGACGACUUCUGUAUCUCGUUUAAACCUGAGUUCCCCCGAGAUACUUCCCACGAUCGUUUUUAUAGGGUCC
rnacentral:lncRNA from 1 species